CCGAGUGUUGGCAUAGAUUUGCUUAGAUAAAGUUUUCACAUGCAUUUCGGUAAGCAUACACGCGGAUACCGAUCUAUCUGUGUAGGGUGAAUAUUGGCAGAUAAAAUCGGACAAGCAAUAUAUCCGUCGGGCUCCACUAAAUACUGCAUCCCGACCUUUUCAGAUUGCAGACACUGAUCAGCCUGGAUCCAGCCGUCCCGCUCACAUUGCUUUGAAGUAAUCAACACCAUACUGCAUCCAGUCAUCGUGGAAUGUCUCUUCCAGCACUACUGCUACACCAAAGGAGGGAUGCGUCACUCAUCCUACACCUGCAUCUGGGGAACGUAGGACAUUUAAAAAUGCUGCUCCAGUGCCCUUAAGCAAGG